UAGGGAAUCUUCCGCAAUGGGCGAAAGCCUGACGGAGCAACGCCGCGUGAGUGAUGAAGGUCUUCGGAUCGUAAAACUCUGUUAUUAGGGAAGAACAUAUGUGUAAGUAACUGUGCACAUCUUGACGGUACCUAAUCAGAAAGCCACGGCUAACUACGUGCCAGCAGCCGCGGUAAUACGUAGGCGGCAAGCGUUAUCCGGAAUUAUUGGGCGUAAAGCGCGCGUAGGCGGUUUUUUAAGUCUGAUGUGAAAGCCCACGGCUCAACCGUGGAGGGUCAUUGGAAACUGGAAAACUUGAGUGCAGAAGAGGAAAGUGGAAUUCCAUGUGUAGCGGUGAAAUGCGCAGAGAUAUGGAGGAACACCAGUGGCGAAGGCGACUUUCUGGUCUGUAACUGACGCUGAUGUGCGAAAGCGUGGGGAUCAAACAGGAUUAGAUACCCUGGUAGUCCACGCCGUAAACGAUGAGUGCUAAGUGUUAGGGGGUUUCCGCCCCUUAGUGCUGCAGCUAACGCAUUAAGCACUCCGCCUGGGGAGUACGACCGCAAGGUUG
rnacentral:rRNA from 1 species